GCAUCCUUAGCUCAGCUGGAUAGAGCGCCGGACUUCGAAUCCGUAGGUCGUAGGUUCGAAUCCUACAGGGUGUA
rnacentral:tRNA from 1 species